UAGCGGAGGAAAAGAAACCAACCGGGAUUGCCUCAGUAACGGCGAGUGAAGCGGCAAGAGCUCAAAUUUGAAAGCUGGCUCCUUCGGGGUCCGCAUUGUAAUUUGCAGAGGAUGCUUCGGGUGCGGCCCCUGUCUAAGUGCCCUGGAACGGGCCGUCAGAGAGGGUGAGAAUCCCGUCUGGGAUGGGGUGUCCGCGCCCGUGUGAAGCUCCUUCGACGAGUCGAGUUGUUUGGGAAUGCAGCUCUAAAUGGGUGGUAAAUUUCAUCUAAAGCUAAAUACUGGCCGGAGACCGAUAGCGCACAAGUAGAGUGAUCGAAAGAUGAAAAGCACUUUGAAAAGAGAGUUAAAAAGCACGUGAAAUUGUUGAAAGGGAAGCGCUUGCGACCAGACUCGCCUCCAGGGUUCAGCCGGCAUUCGUGCCGGUGUACUUCCCUGGGGGCGGGCCAGCGUCGGUUUGGGCGGCCGGUCAAAGGCUCCCGGAAUGUAGUGCCCUCCGGGGCACCUUAUAGCCGGGAGUGCAAUGCGGCCAGCCUGGACCGAGGAACGCGCU
rnacentral:rRNA from 1 species